rfam:Schistosoma margrebowiei strain Zambia genome assembly, scaffold: SMRZ_scaffold0000905
GCAUUUCUGAGGAGUCCCAUAAUAGGACGAAAUGGAUGUCCAGUGC